UGCAUAAAAGAAAAGAAAAAAAAAGGCACAGAUGGAUGAAGGAGUGGUACAAGAAAAGACAUGAGUACAGCAAUGAGAAGCUGCUGAAGGAGAUAAGGGUCAGUGAUCCAGAGGAUUAUAGAAAUUAUAUGCGAAUGGACAGUGCAGCAUUUGACAAUUUACUGAAGAUGGUGGCUCCAAUUAUUUCCAAAAAGAACAUUGUGAUGCGGGAAUGUAUCCCUGCAAGUAUGUAGUUAUCAGUAACACUGCGUUAUCUGGUCACUGGCAACACAUUUGAAGACCUGAAAAAUUAGUAGUGCGGUGUCCCCUCGGUCAAUCAGUUGCAUCGUAAUGGAGACAUGCAGAGCUAUCAUUCAUUGCCUCAAAGAAUAUAUAAAGCUUCCUAGGACAACAGAAGAGUGGAAGGUGAUUGCAAAGGGCUUCAAAAAGCACUAGAACUUCCCUCAGUGCCUUGGUACUAUUGACAGCAAGCAUGUGGAAAUGAAAUGUCCACUGAACUCGGGAUCUAUGUUCUACAAUUACAAGAAAACAUAUAGCAUUGUAUUAAUGGCAGUUGUAAACUCUGGGUAUAAAUUUAUAAUGGCAGAUACUGGUGUUAAUGGUAGGUGUCUGAUAGAGUUGUAUUUAGUCACACAACAUUUGGACAGAUGUUCAAAGAUCAGUCUCUACAUAUCCCUGAAUCUGCCUGUUUACCAAACUGUGACAGACAAGUUCCAUAUGUCCUGAUAGGUGAUGAUGCUUUUACUUUGUCUGAAAAUUUGUUGAAGCCAUACAACCAAGCUGAACUGAAUAAUCCUAAACAUAUAUUCAAUUAUCAGCUUAGUAGAGCAAGACACAUUGGUGAAAAUGUGUUUGGCAUUAUGAAUGCUCGGUUUGGUGUGUUCCAGAGGCCUAUUUGGGUAUCACCUGAUAAAGCUCAGUACAUUUUUUUUUUUUUUUUUUUUAGCUUGCUGCUAUUUACAUAUUUACUUGCGAAGAGGGAAAUGACAUGCAUACAUUCACCAAGGCAAUGUGGACAAGAGAAAAUCUGGAGACCAGACAGAUUCAUGAGGGAUCAUGGCAAUUAGUACCAAAACUACUAAAUUUGCAGAGUACUAAGACUAGAAAUCCAUCACAGCAUACAAAAAUGGUUAGGGAGAGCUACUGUGAAUACUUUAACCUAGAAGGAAAGGUUCCAUGGCACAAGAGAUACGCUAUAUAAAAUAACAGUACAAUAGUAGGCUUUGCAUUUGGACCACUAUUAUUUGUUUUAUGAUGUUAGUUGCAUUCCAAGAUAUGAGACAGGCGAUGCUUUGACACCACGAGAGAGAGAGAGAGAGAGAGAGAGAGAGAGAGAGAGAGAGAGAGAGAGAGAGAGAGAGAGAGAGAGAGAGAGAGAGAGAGAGAGAGAGAGAGAGAGAGAGAGAGAGGUGUCACACUCCUUAUAGGCUAUAUAAUAAAUUACUCUUUGAUGAUAGUCUAAAACUUAAUAUUAAUUUUUAUUGUGGUAUCAUAUGUUUCUUUAUAUUAUUAGCAAUAAUAGUUCAAUACAUAUUUUACUUACCAA